GACGAACGCUGGCGGAGUGCCUAAUACAUGCAAGUCGAGCGAAGCGGCGGAUGGGUGAGUAACGCGUGGGUAACCUGCCCUUAAGUCUGGGAUACCAUUUGGAAACAGAUGCUAAUACCGGAUACUAAAGGAUGGCCCUGCGAUGCAUUAGCGAGUUGGUAAGGUAAAGGCUUACCAAGGCGAUGAUGCAUAGCCGAUGUGAGAGACUGAGCGGCCACACUGGAACGGGGACACGGUCCAGACUCCUACGGUAGGCAGCAGUGGGGAAUAGUGUACAAUGGGCGCAAGCCUGAUGCAGCCAUGCCGCGUGUAUGAAGAAGGCCUUCGGGUUGUAAAGUACGUUCAGCGAGGAGGCGUUACUCGCAGAAGAAGCACCGGCUAACUCCGUGCCAGCAGCCGCGGUAAUUC
rnacentral:rRNA from 1 species